UACGUAGGGUGCAAGCGUUAAUCGGAAUUACUGGGCGUAAAGCGUGCGCAGGCGGUGAUGUAAGACAGUUGUGAAAUCCCCCGGCUCAACCUGGGAACUGCAUCUGUGACUGCAUCGCUGGAGUACGGCAGAGGGGGAUGGAAUUCCGCGUGUAGCAGUGAAAUGCGUAGAUAUGCGGAGGAACACCAAAGGCGAAGGCAGUGUCCUGGGGAGUACCUGACGCUCAGGAGCGAAAGUGUGGGGAGCGAACAGG
rnacentral:rRNA from 1 species